rnacentral:rRNA from 1 species
UGGGGAAUAUUGCACAAUGGGGGAAACCCUGAUGCAGCCAUGCCGCGUGUGUGAGGAAGGCCUUCGGGUUGUAAAGCACUUUCAGCGAGGAGGAAAGGUUGGUAGCUAAUAACUGCCAGCUGUGACGUUACUCGCAGAAGAAGCACCGGCUAACUCCGUGCCAGCAGCCGCGGUAAUACGGAGGGUGCAAGCGUUAAUCGGAAUUACUGGGCGUAAAGCGCACGCAGGCGGUUGGAUAAGUUAGAUGGGAAAGCCCCAGGCUCAACCUGGGAAUUGCAUUCAAAACUGUCCAGCUAGAGUCUUGUAGAGGGGGGUAGAAUUCCAGGUGUAGCGGUGAAAUGCGUAGAGAUCUGGAGGAAUACCAGUGGCGAAGGCAAUCUCCUGGGCCUGCACUGACGCUCAUGCACGAAAGCGUGGGGAGCAAACA